rnacentral:rRNA from 1 species
AACGAACGCUGGCGGCGUGCCUAACACAUGCAAGUCGAGCGGGAAAGUUCCCUUCGGGGAGCGAGUACAGCGGCGAACGGGUGAGUAACACGUAGGUAACCUACCCUUGAGACUGGGAUAACCUGCCGAAAGGCGGGCUAAUACUGGAUAAGACCGUGAGGGCUGCGGCCCUUGGGGUAAAAGGUGGCCUCUGCUUGCAAGCUACCACUUGAGGAUGGGCCUGCGCGCCAUUAGCUAGNGGUGAGGUAACGGCUCACCAAGGCUGGGAUGGCUAGCUGGUCUGAGAGGAUGGCCAGCCACACUGGGACUGAGACACGGCCCAGACUCCUACGGGAGGCAGCAGUGGGGAAUAUUGCGCAAUGGGCGAAAGCCUGACGCAGCGACGCCGCGUGGGUGAUGAAGGCCUUCGGUCGUAA